AAUUUCGUAUAAAUAGGUUCCACUACGAAAUUUCUUGGUAGCUCCUGACUCCUGAGAUAGGGUCUUUUUCUUUUCUGUUCUUUUGGUAUCUUAGCUUCACUCGUGUAUAUCCCUAGAUCAGAAAGAAGAAGAAGCACAAGUAGCAAUGGGAGGAGGCAAUGGGCAGAAAUCCAAGAUGGCCCGUGAAAGGAACAUGGAGAAGCAAAAAGCUGCUAAAGGAAGUCAGAUUGAAUCGAACAAGAAGGCCAUGACGAUACAGCGGAUAGCUAUCUCUUUUUACAACAUGAAGAUAUUGAUACAACAGUAUUGAAUUCAUUGAUGUAGCAUCGAUGACCAAGAAGCUUUUAAGUGCAAGGUCUGCAUGCAGACGUUCAUCUGCACCACAUCCGAGGUGAAGUGCAGGGAGCAUGCUGAAGCAAAACACCCCAAAUCUGAUGUGCAUACUUGUUUUCCUCAUCUUAAGAAAUGAUAUAAUAUUGAGAAGUACUUGUAGACAUGGGUGCAAAGCCUAAUCUAAGAUGUCUUAUUUGUUAUAAGUUCAAAGCUUGUGCAAAAGUAUUAUUCCAGACUUGAGGGAGGAAUAAUCAAGACCAAAAAUCGAAAUCAAAGACCACAAAUCGGAAGGAUUGCUUUUCACAAGCUUUAAACUAAAUCCCAAUAACGCGAAGCUUUGCACCCAUAUCAAUUCAUAAGCUUAAUCUGUUUGUGAAACUAAACUGUUUGUGGAGUAUCUUGUAUCUUGUAUUAUUAUCGAUGCCUUUGCCUUAAUUUCGUAGUUCAA